rnacentral:rRNA from 1 species
AGUGAACGCUGGCGGUAGGCCUAACACAUGCAGGUCGAACGGCAGCACAGUAAGAGCUUGCUCUUACGGGUGGCGAGUGGCGGACGGGUGAGGAAUACAUCGGAAUCUACUUUUUCGUGGGGGAUAACGUAGGGAAACUUACGCUAAUACCGCAUACGACCUACGGGUGAAAGCAGGGGAUCUUCGGACCUUGCGCGAUUGAAUGAGCCGAUGUCGGAUUAGCUAGUUGGCGGGGUAAAGGCCCACCAAGGCGACGAUCCGUAGCUGGGCUGAGAGGAUGAUCAGCCCCCCUGGAGCUGAGACACGGUCCAGACCCCUACGGGAGGCAGCAGUGGGGAAUAUUGGACAAUGGGCGCAAGCCUGAUCCAGCCAUACCGCGUGGGUGAAGAAGGCCUUCGGGUUGUAAAGCCCUUUUGUUGGGAAAGAAAAGCAGCAGGUUAAUACCCCGCUGUUCUGACGGUACCAAAAGAAUAAGCACCGGCUAACUUCGU